CCGUGUCUUAAGCAGACGCUAAUCUUGUCUUUAGUCCAGUUUGGUUGUCUCAGUCUGCAGUUACUACGAAUGUUUGAGGAAAAAAAAACAAAAAGAAAAAAACACACCACCAGACUACUGUCGAAAAUCACAUCAUGAAUGUGUACAUGAAUGGCAUGUGACGCCCGUUUUAUAGCAAGGGUCUUGUGACUCGUUAUAGUCGUUCACCCAGACAGCGCAUGAUCCAGUUGUAGCCCUUUCAGUGUCAAUAAAAUCUCGUAAUUUUCCAUCACUGUACUGAUAUGAUCCAACGCCAAGCACUGUGCAAACAGUGUUGGGGUUUGCAGGACUCAACCGCAAGUUGAAACUGAAUCAUACAGUGGUUAGGAACGUCUCAAACAAACGAGGGGGGCUAGCGUUAGCAGAAGCCUGUAUCGCACGGAAAACAUUAUUUUAACCAAGAUAAGAGACCAACGUUGACGUAACUAAGUUAACGUUACGCCAGGCACGUAAGCUAACGGGCUGAGCUGUCUUUGACGUUACUGACGUUAGCUUCUCAUCCCCCACAGCUCAGACACUUCACCAACGCUUAGCUAAGCCACUGUCCCUCAAAUUUACACAAACUUACAGAUGUUCAGUCCACCUGACUCUAUUAAUUCUAAACUAACACUUAAGUUCCAGCCAAGUCGAUGUCACAUGAUGCGAAAAUCAGUAACAAAAGAGUCUCAGAAGACGUCUACACGCCGCAUAUCCUACCUUGGUCGUCUGCCAGAGUGCUCGCUGUGGCUGUUGGGUGUUUUCCAGUGGUAAUGACAACAGACAGAAGAGCCAGAGAACUGUUGUGGGCGGUGCCCAGUGCGCUUGUUUUGGGUUAGGGGGACACCCGGCGGUGUGCCGCGCACUGUGCACUGGAGCUGUAACCAGGAGAGGAACUCCAGUGUGGAUCAAGAGGACCCAGAACAGGAAGCAGGAGACGGAUACUUUUAUGUUUAACACUCGUCAUGAAGAAAGUGACCAGAGUGAACUAGAACCAAAAAGUGACCAGCAGCUCCUCUCUCACAACCCUCACGUAGCUGAGAUCCUGAGUCUCCUGAGGAGACAAAACUACAUUUCCUUAAUUUUGCUUAGACUUCAGACAAUCAGAUGAUUAACGAAAUGUAGAAUAUGAAGUAAAUGCUUGCCUAUCCGUGUAAGGACCUAAAACAGUGGCCUAACAUUUUGUCAGAUCCAACUGUUGACAGGGUAGAAACCAGUGGAUGGUGGCAAAAUAUACACUAUAUAUAGCACAAUAUCUGAAAGACGGUCAUGUUCAAAGGGAAUGAAAGUAACUUCUCGUUUUCCUUCUUUUCAUCGGUUUUGUUUCAGCAUUGUCAGAGAGAAAUGGCACCCACUCAGUUCAAAGAAUCUUGUUCCCCGUGGACUGCCUGGCAAACAUAGGUUUCUCAAAGUUGAGAGAGAGGGCAGCUAUGCGAAGGUGGUUAGAUGUGAGACCUUUGAGCUUGUGGCUAUGAAUUCGUCUAAAUGCUGGACCACAAACACCAAGAGUGAGGUGGGAAACUUUUUUGAUUUUGAUGUUUGCAGUUGUAAAAGAUGUUGUAUGGUCUAUGGUGCAGUAAGUGCCUCGUGCAAAAAAAAAGCAUUUCCUGGUGAAUCACCACCGACGAUCUUUUGAAGUCAAGCUGAUAGACUUUGGUCGGGCCAUUCCCGCAUCACAGGCCGAGAAGUUCAGUGGAAGGCAAAUAUUCCAAAUUAUGUAAAAAUACCAUGAAGAAGCAGCUGUGUGCUUCCUCCCUGUAACAUGUUCUUGUGUGAACAUCCUGUAAUGUUUCUCUUCCACAUUCAGGUCCCCAGAUGUUUUUUAGGGGGGGGCAUGAAUAUCAUGAGGCCAGUGAUAUGUGGGCCCUGGGCUGUGUCAUGUUCCAGGCGAACUGUGGCCCUGACCUGUUCAAAGGAAAAUGUGACUAUGAAAUUACUCCUUUGGAAUUUUUCAAACGUCACCAUAUUAGACCUGAACAGAGGCACAAGUUCCAAUGUCUGGAUGAACUGAAAGCAGUAAGUGUGAGAUGCGUCCGGAGGAAGAUGACAAAACUGAGGCUGCCAAGCGAGAGCAGUGUAUCGAGCUCCUGGCCACACUGGCAUUUGAUGCAGAUGAGAGGAUCACUCCCCAUGAAGUCCUAGCUCAUCCAUUCAUCACCUAAGUCUACCCGAAGAUGAAACCGGCAGCUGAGGUUGCAACUGCUGAGAAGAAUCUGUUAUCUGUAGAAUAGAGGUAAGGGCUUCAGCUUACCUGGAAAUCUCUGAAGGGCACGAACUGGACGAUGUCUCUUGCGGCGACAUCUCCUCUGGCCGAACGCAG